UUUAAAAAAAAAAAAAGUCUGUACACUGUGAAGGAGAGAAGAAUACAGAUCUUUCUCAUGUUUAUUUUAUUUUCUCAUGUUUAAUAAUUUUUUAGCUUAUUACCAUGUGGAUAUAUUUCUUGUUCAAAGAAAUUAAAAAUCGAAUAUUUUUCUAAAAUACUCUCCCUGCCUUUAUCACUUACCCUUCCAGAGAGACACGAGUUUACAACUGGUUGUCUAAGUUAAGUAUCAGAAGAGAGCACAUGUUCCCUCUCCCCCACUCUGCAGAAUGCCUGCCCCUCACCCCGCACAUUCCCCUAGUCCCCCCAGAAGCACCUUCCACAGUCCUCCAAGGUACGGCCCUGGGCCUGGGGCUGUAGCGCUUGCCUAGUGCCGUGAGGGUCCUGGGUUGGAUCCUCAGCACCACUUGCCCUAGUUCCCCUGUGAAUAAGAGAAAGCCAUUCUUCUUUAAGAUAAAAAAUAAAUAAAUAAAAUAAGGUAUUAUCCAUCUACAACUAAUAUAUGCAUAUAUACAUAAAGGAUGCCGGCCCUGAUGCACCUAGAAGGCGAGAGCUCGCUUCUCCACAACACUAAUGGAGCAGUGAUCACAAGCUGCCUUGCUAUGUUCUUACUUCUCAGUCCUCCUGGUCCCAAUUAGAUGGUACAUUCUAUGACUUGUGUUUCUGUGUGGCAAUCCCUGAAUGUCUAAGGGUGCUUUGCCUGUAAGACACUCCACAGAUAUUUUGAAAAGUUUCAUAUGAUUUCAGAAUUGGAGUGAGGUCUUCUAAUCCACACUCUGACCCUGUGCAGACUUCCCUGAUAGACUGACAGAUGGUUAUGGCUGUUUCUUAACUGAGAGAUUAAAAAUAUCUAGAGGACUGGUGUUGAAUAGAGUGCUAGAGUGCUUGCCUAGCAUGAGCAAGGCCCUGGGUUCCAUCCUUAGCACCACAGAAUAACAAUAAUAAUACUAAUACUGUAUAAAAACUAAAAUAUUUAGAGACACAGGAAUUCAUUCUUUUAAGAUAUUUUGCAGUAAUUUUACCUACAUUUAAAUGUUUUAAUAAAUAUGCUUGUUAUUUAAAAAUUCAAACAAGGGCUGGGGGUGAAGCUCAGUGGUAGUGUGCUUGCCUAGCACAUGUGAGG
rnacentral:lncRNA from 1 species